AACGAACGCUGGCGGCAGGCUUAACACAUGCAAGUCGAGCGCCCCGCAAGGGGAGCGGCAGACGGGUGAGUAACGCGUGGGAAUCUACCCAUCUCUACGGAAUAACGCAUGGAAACGUGUGCUGAUACCGUAUACGUCCUUCGGGAGAAAGAUUUAUCGGAGAUGGAUGAGCCCGCGUUGGAUUAGCUAGUUGGUGGGGCAAAGGCCUACCAAGGCGACGAGCCAUAGCUGGUCUGAGAGGAUGAUCAGCCACACUGGGACUGAGACACGGCCCAGACUCCUACGGGAGGCAGCAGUGGGGAAUAUUGGACAAUGGGCGCAAGCCUGAUCCAGCCAUGCCGCGUGAGUGAUGAAGGCCCUAGGGUUGUAAAGCUCUUUCACCGGUGAAGAUAAUGACGGUAACCGGAGAAGAAGCCCCGGCUAACUUCGUGCCAGCCGCCGCCGUAAAAC
rnacentral:rRNA from 1 species